GCCAGUAUGGAGUAGUGGUUUGAGUGUUGGUCUAUGACCCUGGAGAUCAGGGUUCAAAUCCCUGCUUAGCCA
rnacentral:tRNA from 1 species